CAGUAGCCGCGGGAAUACGUAGGUGGCGAGCGUUGUCCGGAAUUAUUGGGCGUAAAGGGAGCGCAGGCGGACAUAUAAGUCCAUCUUAAAAGUGCGGGGCUCAACCCCGUGAGGGGAUGGAAACUGUAUGCCUUGAGUGCAGGAGAGGAAAGCGGAAUUCCCAGUGUAGCGGUGAAAUGCGUAGAUAUUGGGAGGAACACCAGUGGCGAAGGCGGCUUUCUGGACUGUAACUGGCGCUGAGGCUCGAAAGCUAGGGGAGCGAACGGGAUUAGAGACCCCUGUAGUCCCUGUCUCUUAUACA
rnacentral:rRNA from 1 species